AGAAAGAGCCGGACCGGAAGAGCAGGAUCAAGAUCUGGUGUCGAACAAGCAAGUAGGUGUCACUAGUAAGAUGGUUGGUGACUCACUGGGCUUAGUUCUGGUGAUCCCAGUGAAUAAAGAUGCUAGACGUGCAGGUGAAAUGGAUCAGAUCGCCUUUGAAAUCGAUCUUUUCCGCAGUGGUCAAAAGGCUUUUGACAUGCUACA
rnacentral:lncRNA from 1 species